rnacentral:lncRNA from 10 species
GGAAGGCGGUGAUCCAGUCACAUUUAUCUCACCAGCUGACAGGAGGUAAAGGUGAGGGUCGCAGUGGCUUUGAGGACUCCGCAGUCACCACGGUGCACUCCUUCCAUCUCACUUUCAUCAAGCACCUAGAGCCCCACCCUAGGCCAUGUCAGGUCUCCUGCUAUUUCUCAGGCUGGCCCGACACCGUCACGACUCCAUCUCUGUAUCCAGGGCUGGCACCAGGUUCCUCUCCCAAGGCUCUCUCCCUGCUUCUUUUGAGAUCCUCCUCAUAUAAGAGGCUUCAGAUAAGUGCCGCCUCGGAUGCCAGGCCGGAUGUUCUGCCGGAAGCUUCACUCACCGAGUCAGAGGUUCAUGGGCUGGCUCUUGAUCC